UCCAGACUCCUACGGGAGGCAGCAGUGGGGAAUAUUGCACAAUGGGGGAAACCCUGAUGCAGCGACGCCGCGUGAGUGAAGAAGUAUUUCGGUAUGUAAAGCUCUAUCAGCAGGAAAGAAAAUGACGGUACCUGACUAAGAAGCCCCGGCUAACUACGUGCCAGCAGCCGCGGUAAUACGUAGGGGGCAAGCGUUAUCCGGAUUUACUGGGUGUAAAGGGAGCGUAGACGGUGAAGCAAGUCUGAAGUGAAAGGCGGGGGCUCAACCCCCGGACUGCUUUGGAAACUGUUUGACUGGAGUGCAGGAGAGGUAAGUGGAAUUCCUGGUGUAGCGGUGAAAUGCGUAGAUAUCAGGAGGAACACCGGCGGCGAAGGCGGCUUACUGGACUGUAACUGACGUUGAGGCUCGAAGGCGUGGGGAGCAAACAGGAUUAGAUACCCCAGUA
rnacentral:rRNA from 1 species